AUUUCAUUUCAGGUUCUUUCUGAGACAUGUUUUCAUGGUGUGGGAAUAAGACUUGGUGGUCUUAUACAGCUAAUACAAAGGUUAGCAUCACAGCUUGUCUGUAAGGAUUGAAGCUGGGAGUGGGCAUUGGAGCUGACUUUUAUGAUAACUGUGGCUGCAUAAAAUGGUUGUGUGAUAUAACUGCAACAGUAAAGAAUGUAAUUUAGACUAUUUUUGUGUAUGCUUGAGAAAAUGUUUAUAAUUUUUUUACAAAAAAAAAAAAAAAAAAUAUGUAAAGAUUCUUCAUUUUUAACAAGAUUGGAAGUUGUAGGUUAACUUGUAUUUGACAUUACAAAAAUUCUUUCUAUUUUCCGUUUAUACUCAUGUCUAGUCAAAACAUUUCCAGCAGUUUAAGAAUGGAUAAUCUAAAAGAAAAAGAAAGAAAAAAGAAAAAAAAAAUGUUCAAUUAUUGAAAUGUAUUUUUUUUUUUGCAAAUUGUAAUGUAUAUAUUUUUGCCAUCUUUUUGUUAUUUUAGGAUUUGAGAUACUUUCAAAUUUUACAAGUUACUUUAUACAUGUAGUUAAUGCAAUUAAAUCUGCAGAUGUGAAUAUUCCCACUAAAUUUCUUAGCAAAUUUUAAUUAUUUUUGUUUUUUUUAGCAACAUUUCAAAAUACCUUACCAUAGCAAAUGCCUCUCUAGUGUAAACUAAAAAGAUGAAUAAUGGUCUGCAGUAAAUAUAUCCCCUUACAACCUUUUCUUUCAUGUUAAGAAGUUAGCAAUAUAUUUUUUGCACUUUUUUUGUCAUUUUUUGCUGAUUUUGGUUUGUAACCAAGGUGAUAUUUUUUAAAGAAUAAUUUUACAAAAGGCCAUACCUGUCAACUGACCCGUAUCCUGCGGGUGUGACCCGAGAUUUUCACAACUCUGAGGGGUCACCCGGAACACCCCCCGGGUCAUUAAAUAACCCGGGAAUUCCAAAAAAGGGCCUGUUUUCACCCGGAUUCCUAAUCCUUCAGACUGAUUUCAUAAGUGAUUUUCCUUUGAACAGUGUUGAAAUACGGGCAAAUUUGUAAUUCUCCAUGGACAAGAAGUUCAACUAGCUGUGUAUACUCAAAUUAAGUGACCCAUUUCAGUGCAUGGCUUCACUUGACAGCUUUGGUGUCAAACACACUGUUAAUUAACACCGAUUACCUUAGCUUUAGGUCGUAAAUAAUUUGUGUAUUUCAAAGUUGUUUUAAAAACAAUUUGAGUUACUUCCCCUUUUUUUCACCUUUCACAAUAUACUCUUUAAACUAAUGUUUUUUGGUAAAAAGAUUAAAUCUAAAAUAAAUUGAAUGCA